rnacentral:rRNA from 1 species
GAUGAACGCUAGCGGCAGGCCUAAUACAUGCAAGACGAACGGUAAGUUGAGUAGCAAUACUUAGCCAAGAGUGUCGUACGGGUGCGUAACACGUAUGCAACCUACCCUAUACAGGAGGAUAGCCUAGGGAAACCUGGAUUAACCCUUCAUAGUAUUAUUGGAUGGCAUCAUUUGAUAAUUAAAACUGAGGUGGUAUAGGAUGGGCAUGCGUCUGAUUAGUUAGUUGGCGGGGUAAUGGCCCACCAAGACGAUGAUCAGUAGGGGUUCUGAGAGGAAGAUCCCCCACACUGGCACUGAGAUACGGGCCAGACUCCUACGGGAGGCAGCAGUAGGGAAUAUUGGUCAAUGGAUGCAAGUCUGAACCAGCCAUGCCGCGUGCAGGAAGAAGGCCUUUCUGGGGUUGUAAACUGCUUUUGCCAGGGGAUAAAAUUUCCAUGCGUGGAAAACUGAAGGUACCUGGUGAAUAAGCCACGGCUAACUACGUGCCAGCAGCCGCGGUAAU